rnacentral:sRNA from 1 species
CUGUGUAUUACAGGAAACCUCUUGCGGCUGCGAAUAACAAAUACACCAAUAUCUACUCAGUAACUAUAGUUUUGGCAUUGGCAGCCGCAAGAGGUUUCCUGUAAUACAAUA